UACGUAGGGGGCAAGCGUUGUCCGGAUUUAUUGGGCGUAAAGAGCGUGUAGGCGGCCAAGCAGGUCAGCUGUGAAAACUCGAGGCUCAACCUCGAGACGUCGGUUGAAACCGCUUGGCUAGAGUCCGGAAGAGGAGAGUGGAAUUCCCGGUGUAGCGGUGAAAUGCGCAGAUAUCGGGAAGAACACCCGUGGCGAAGGCGGCUCUCUGGGUCCCUACCGACGCUGGGGUGCGAAAGCAU
rnacentral:rRNA from 1 species